UAGGGGCGGUGCUGCCUCAGUCCUCGGACAGUCACAAGGGAUGAACUGUUAGCAACUUGCUCCACUACCCACCCACAGGUGGCAGCUGAGUAUCCCUAGGGAAAGUGGGUGGCAUGAAAUCACUUGCAGACCUUUAGGGACACUGGAAUGGCCUGGUCUCAGUACAUUUCCAAGAAGAAGACACCCCCCUUGCGUCCCCCGCCCUUACCCGGUGGGUGGCUCAGGUUGGGGAGAAUAGUCUGAGAAAUCCUGGAAAGCUUGACUUGUAAAAUGAGAAAUCAGUUUGCUGAAGGGAGUCACAGGCAUCCUGCUCAGUCACAGCAUUGGGACAUCCAGAAGGCUACCCCGCCCCAGCACCAAAGCCCCUCUCAGCCUUGAGAUGCAAGAAUAGCCCCAUGCAACACCAGGGCCAGUUCCUGUUCUCUUGACGUCCACUAAGUUAUGGCACUCAGCCCUGGAAUUUGAUCUUUCUCCAACUUUCAUGUUCAGAAGCUCCUGUGCAGAAGGCCCCACCCCCUUUCUUAAAAACUUACAUUGCAUGUAUUGAUUUGAGGGGAAGGAGAUACAUGAAGACUGGAGGACAACUUUGGGGAAUUAGUUCUCUCUUUCCACCAAUGUAGGUCCUGGGGGUUGAACUCCGAUCCUCAGGUUUGGCAGCCUUUACCAAUGAUGAGCCACCAUGCUGGUCCCCAACCCCUUAUUUCUAGCCUGGAAAUGCAGAAGUAGCUGCAGAGGAUAGGGGAGUCCAACAGGACAGAGUCCGUGUUGCUUUCUGCCUUCCCCGCCCACCAAGCAUGACACCUUGAGAGCAAUAAAUCUGAGAAUCACACUCAGGCCUCUUGUGAGGAACCCAUGCCACAAGCAUUGGGAUUUCCGGGCCCGUGUUAUCUCCGUUUCUCUGCCCAAGAGGUUACUGGGCCAGUUGGCUCCCUCUGGAGUCCUAGAAGGGAUGGCUUAUUUAGUGCCUACUGUGUGCUGAGUGAGGAAUUAUGACAUUCACUUAUUGCCUGCAGUUAGGGACAUCAUUGGUCCCUCCAAAGGGGCUCAGGCCUUUAUUAAUACAACCUCUUGUUAGCCAACUGCUCUGCAUUCUCCUCCAGAAAUUCUGUGUAGUCCUAGGCAAAUUGUUCUUCCUUUCUGGGCCCUCUAUAAACUAAAGGCUAGGUUUCGUAACACUGACCAAGCCUUGCUGUUCCCAAUCUCAGCGUCAGCAAUAGGCCUGGGUUGAAACAGAGAGAUGCAAAGUACACUAUGCCCAGUCAAUGUAGGUUCCCGUAGUUCCCCUGGCUCAAAAGGCAGCUUCAGUACCCACCAGAGUAUGCAUUGUGCAAAGCAGGCUCAGUUCACAGCCACCUUUCCAGCAGGUUUAAGUGCCUCUAGUUUCUUACCCUGGUGGAACCAUCAAGACUAAGGAAGAGGGCCACUGCUAGGGCAGGGCGGGGCCUGAGUCGUAGGAGGCAGAAAGUCCAAGGGCCAAGAGGGAGGCAGUGAUUGGAGGAUCUAUGCAGUGUGCAGUGAGUAUGGCCUCUGGACCAGGCUGCCAUCAGUAGGCUGAGGCAGGACCAGUCGUAAAGGUGGCACUUCGUUCCUCUCUGCUCUGGAGUCAAAAGACGUGUGAAAAGGAGCUCCCCGCUCCCUCCUUCCAUGUCUCUAACCUGGCAUCACCAGGCUGAUGGAAGAGCACAGAGGUUGCCUGGCUGCUCCAGGGUAGGAUUCCAGGUCUAGCUGCACCCCUGAGCUCAUCUCAUUACUAGGGAUGAUACAGGUGAGGUGACCUUUGAAGUGCUUCAAGGGGAAGAAUUUAACCAACUACCUGCUAGGAACUGAUCUCUGUCUGUCUAAGCCCUUCCUGGACAUAAUUAGUCUUCACCUGUGGUUGACCAGGAACCUUUGGAUCCUGCUCAGAAAGCCUGUACCCUCUAGCACAGAGUGCCAGCUACAUUCUUCUCCUUUCUCUGAACACUAGAAAACUGAGGUGCCAGAGGAAGAUUCCCAGUACUAUGACCAUCUAGGACCCAUUCGUAUUGGUUUCUUGGGAGGCUGGGGGCACGUUGAGACAAGGUCUUGUCACGUGGUCCAGACUGACCUUUGGACUCGAGUCCUGCGUUGGUUGAAUGCUGGGAUUACAGCUGUGGGCCGUCAUAUACCCAGCUAGGAUGUGUCAUCUUGUUUUGCCAUUCUCUGAUCCUCACAAGGGCGCUUCGAUGGGUGACUAAGAUGAGGUACAGAGGGAGGCGGUGCCUUUCCCUAGGCCACAGGCCUGGGAAGUACAGAGAAAGCAUGAAAGGUGGGCCACUUCCUGCAGCCAGCACCCUGUCCAUACAGCCAGAGCUCUGCCAAGCAGCAGGCUGUGUGCGGAAGGGCAGCUGGGGAGACAAACAGUAGCAUGCCAGGGGCGGAGCACAGUGGCUUCCUGCCUCUGUCCUGCAGCACCUUCACCCUAUAAAAGAGCUCAGGCCUGACGUCUCAUGUAUGCACUCUUUUCACACUCUCCUGCCCUAACCUGUGUCUUCAUGUUUUUCAUGCUCGGUGGCUUCCAGGAGAGCCACCACUUCAAGCAUACGACUCCUUGCAUGCUUUUGCACAAGCUCCUUUUGUUUCCUAAGACACACCCAGCCCAGCCUUUCCAGUCCAUAUCUGCAGCCACCAGCUCGGGAGCCUACUCUGAUAAUAUCACCAGUCUACAGCAUCUCCAUCCCUGAAUGCUGCCAGACUGCCUCCAUAUUUGUGUGACCAUGGUGACUGCCUGUUACGUUCCUGCUACAGGCCAGGUCCUCAGUAGCUUGAACUCUGGUCCUCACCUGAGUUGAGGAUUGGUGCUAAUGUCCCCAUUUUACUGAUAAGAAAACUGAGGCCUUGAAAACCUCAUAGUGGAGAGCUCUUUGAUACCCAAUGCUUUUUGGUACCUCUAGGCGGGUAGAAUGGUUCAUUGCUCUAUACUAUCACCCAGCGAGUUGACAAGUAGUCAAGUGCAGUGGCGAUAAUGGGGUACAUAUGCAGAGACCAGACUCCCAAGAAGGGCUGCCCAGACAGAUGCCAUUUUUCCAGGUUUAGGGAAGAAGAAUGUUGAACAGGUGCCUGGAAGUCAAGCUUGCAUGGAAGUUGUAGAAAAGCAGAUGGGGGUGGAGCAUGGCUCUGCACAAGAUCGCACAGAGAAGGGAUAGUAUUGAAGCUCUCAAAGUGACAGGCAUUCCUGUACUUUGCAACCUGCCUUGGUGCUCCUUCCACUGUGUUCUUUAUGAAGGACACACAGUCUCAGAUGCUUUGAAGAUGCUGAGUUGUUCAGUGAGUGAGUGGCUCUAUUCCCCCACCCUCCAAUUAAAAUGAAAGAAGAGAACUAGCAUUGCUCCUAGCUGCGGCUUGUGUCAUCCGGAACCAGAAUCCUGCUGCUUAAGAUGGAUGGAGUAGAAGCUAGUUACCCAGAGACCUUGCCUCGAACCUUCUGCAAGUAUCGGGUGCAGUUUGGGAGGACCACCGCCCACCAUCAUGGUUUCCUUCCUCACUCACCUGCAGCCUUGGGUGAGCUGGACCCCUUCCCUGGCAGCUAGCCCCUUACGCUAUCCAGGUCUGUGGGCACCUGUUUGUGGGUGCUGCAAAGAUCUCUUUUCUAUGACAUCACUUUAAACGUUGGUUUAAUUCCAGGGUGAACACAGGGGAUUUCCUGCCAGCUCCAGGAAGGAAGGAAGGCCAUCUGCAGGGGUAGAGGAAUGGGAACCUAGAGGCACAUCAAACAGCUCUCUACAGAGACCACUACCCAUUUGCUCUUUGGAAAGGGCUCCCCAAGACUCCUGGGACCAUCUCCUUUUGAUUACAUCUCUUUUGAGAAAUUUCCUCUUGUACCUGAACUCUGACCUUUCCAGACCAGGGACAAUUCUGACCCAGGUUACUCCAAUGUUGCAAGAGCAACAUUCUGGUCACCGGCCAGGGUCUGUGAGGAAGCUGCUGCCAGAGUUGGCUUCUCGAGCUCCUUCCUCCCCUGGGAAAAACACUUCUGAGUUUGUAAAGAGCACUUUAUGUCCCAUGUAAGUGCCACAACAAUCUCAGGAGGCAGGCAGAUUGUACAUCCCACUUUGUGGAAGAAGAAGAAAAUGGCUUGGUGGUUUGACCGAUACCACACACAUGGGGGUGGGACGGGGUCUUGUCCGGAUUAUUUGAUUCCGGAUUAUUUGAUUCCAUGUUACCAACUCAGGUAAUGUUUCAAAAGAUGCCACUCCUAGCCCCAGAUGUUGCCAGGAGACAAGAUCUCAGAGACUUUGAUUCAUUCAGUAAAUAAUUAUUGGCUAUCAGCUGUGUCAAACAGAGCUAAUAAAGAGGAGGCAGAGGUGACCCAUGCUGCCACCAUCUAUCUGAUAAUUCUGAGAGGGGAAACCAGCCAAACAGGCCCCAUGCAGACAGGUCUGUUCCCAGAGGUUCAGCCCAUACGCCCCAGAAGGAGCCCAGGGCCCAGAGACCUGUGUUCUCAUCCUGCUAUUGCCUCUUCCUGGCUGUAUGAACUGAAAAAAGGUUUCCCUGACAUCUGUAAGCACAUAGCUUCUCCCAUGGUUUCUAGGUUCUUGCCCUACUCCUACCUUCUAGGUCAAGUAGUUAAUGAUUUCUUGGCAUGAGUAAUUAUCCUGGUACAGUGUUUUCUUAAACUCAAUGUUUCAGGGGCACUUGAAGGCAGAGAGGGGCUUCUCGGGUCAUCUGACUUGAGCCCCUCACUAAGCAAGAACACCUUAGCCUCAUCCUCCCCGGGAAGUAACAGCCUCUCUCUCUCACUCUCUCUCUCUCUCUCUCUCUCUCUCUCUCUCUCUCUCUCUCUCUCUCUCUCUCUCCCUCCCUCCCUCCCUCCCUCCCUCCUCCCUCUCUCUUCCAGAGUAAAAUGCUUGCUCCUUCACAGAGCAGACCUCUGCCCAGUGGCAUGCUAGUAAAUGUUUAACACCUGGCUCUCCAGACUGGGGAGAACCUGAUUCAUAGUAUCUGUUGAUUCCCUUAGUGUAAAUAGUCCUACGGUAGUGGCCUGGUGCUGCAUGCCUAGCAGUUCACACAGUUGGUGAAAGUUUAACUGCUGUCAUUCCCCAGCCAGUGCAAGCAGGCUACAGCACAGAGUUGCCCCCAAGAAAAUUCUGGUCCAGCUCGAUUUGCUGGAAAGUUCUUUCUGGUAUGGGACAAACCUCACUGUCCACAUACAUCCCUUCCCAUCCUGAUCUGAAUCCCGUGAGAUGAGUAGAUCCUGGGCUUAGGGGAGAUAGAUUAGCCACCUUCCUCUCUGCCCUCCCCCACCACCACCACCACCACCACCACUUCCUUUCUUCCAUUCCGUACUCUGUUCCUUUCUCAAAUAUUUAUUGGGCCCUGGUGAUGCCAUGGUGCUAGUUGCUGUGGCUACAGAGACCAUAUCUUUGUUGCCCCGGCUCUACCUACCCUGCCUGUCCACUCCCCCGCCCCAGACCCCACUCAGACUGGCUGAUUCCCACUCUCCCGAGCUCUUGUUGACCACCACCCUUUCUCUUCCCACCUCGGGCAGCCCUGCCUCCCUCUCAAACCCUCCCAGAGCCUUUAUCGUCCUUUUGACACUUAUCACUUUCUACCUCGGAUUACAACUAUUUGUGUACAGGGCUUAUCUCCCUGCCAGACAGAGAGGCAGCUCGGCUGUUGAAAGUGUGGACUUUGGAGCCAUGUGACCUGGCCUUCCAUCCCAGCCCCAGCACAAGGGAUUCGCUUUCUCUGGAGCUCACACCAUCUUUGGGAGCCUCCGCUUCUUUAUCUUCAAGGCAGGCCUGGUGAUAACCACUUCCAAGAUGGUUUUGACCAUUCAGUGAGAUUAAAAUGUAACCCCCUUUUCCGGUUCCUGUCUGGAUUUCCGUCCUCUUCUCGGUAGACUUUAUGCCAACGCCUCUUCUGGGUCUAAUUAUUAGAUUCUAAUACUACUUAGAGCAGACACAUAUAUAACAAUGCAAAUUACAGGGGCUUAGUUCAAACAUAUGUGGACGCAUUUCGUCCUUCCAAGCUUGGGACACUGGAAUUCAUCUAUUUCCAGCAUCAGUGGUGUGCCAGGUUUAGUAGCACACAACCAUGAUCCCAACAUUAUGGAGGCUGAAGAGGAGGAAACAUCGGGAACUUGAUGCUAGCCUGAGGAGUCUUUCCCGGAUCCAACCAGUCAAGUAAAAAGAUAGCUUAAGGCACAGACAGGUUACGUAAGACCAAGGUCACACAGAUACUGGGUGAAAGCUAAGAUUUGAAUCCAGGACGAUCUGUUUUAGAAUCCCAGCUGUUGAACUUGAUGCAAUAUGUCAGUGCUGCGAGUGGGCGUGUGGCUUAUAGAGGCUGGGGCUUCCAAGACUUUGCACAUCCUUACCCUAGCCUAGAGAUAGGGUGGAGUGAUGCAUUGUCCUUUUGGGACUCCCCAAAAAUAAAGCGUUUAGCACCUGAGGAAGAGACGCCUCCAGGCCCUUUGCUAGGGGACAGGGAGGCCACUGACGGAUAAAGCAAUGUGAAGACGUUCACUGAGAGAAGGGUUUGUGAUGCGCUACAGCAAAACUCGACAGACAGAUGGAGGAGCGAAGGUAGAUUGUAGUGGUGGGGGCAUCAGAGUUCAUCUAGGAAUAAGGCUCACAUUUCUAUGCACACUGUUGGGCAGUCCUGCAGUGUUUGUGGGCUUUUGAAGACAGUACAGAGUAAAGAGAGCUGAGCUGACCUGGGCCAGGUUGAUGUUCUGAUUCUCUAAAAGCUUCUUUGAGCUUCCACAGUCCUUUCCACUUUCCGUAGUUUCUCCUGCAGAGCAGUCAUGAAGAGUGGACCCUGCAGUCAGUAGAAAGACGAACCAGAUGGCAGGAGAUGGGAGCUGGAACCUCUUUUUUUUUUUUUUUUUUUUUUUUGUUCUUUUUUUUGGAGCUGGGGACCGAACCCAGGGCCUUGCGCUUCCUAGGUAAGUGCUCUACCACUGAGCUAAAUCCCCAGCCCCAGCUGGAACCUCUUGAAGCAAGAGGUAGGUGGAAGUACUCGGGGAGGGGGGGGGGAGAGGAGAUGGUAGGGCUGGAGGAACCCAGCAUGCCUGGAUUGGGGUGGCAAUACCAGAUCUGUCAGCCUUUCUCAUCUGCUUUCUGUUGCUAAAUGCUUAAUGCUUGCCAGCUCUGUUGGUAUCUACAGGGGCAGAUCCAUGCUGAACCCUGUUCCUCCCACCAGUUUAGGAUGGCCCAACCAUGGCUUCUGAAGGCCAGCCUUAUACAUUUAAGAGUCCUUGAAGAAUGUAUGCCUCUAGAACACUAAGAGACCUGCUUUCCUCAGUAAAUCUGCCCAAACCACUGCCCUCCCCCACCCCCCCACUCCCGAGUAAGACCUGGGUCUCAGGUGUGUGACAGGGCCCUAGAAUGUAAAGUGACCCUUCCCCCCCACCCAGGCAGGCUCUCAGGGCCCUUGGAGGCUUGGAAGGCUGUGUGGAGGGGUGCGGUGAAAGGGUGAAUUAAUCCAGGAUCACCCUCAGGGGCUCUCUAUGAUGCUAAUCUCUUUGGCUUUUGAUGCUUCUCCCCCCCCCCCUCCCCUCCCCUCCAGUCCCAGCCCAGUUGGAGCUGGAGACUUAGUUCUACACCAGGCCUGGGAUUAGAGCUCCCUGGGUGAGGCCCAGUUUAUCCAUAAUGAAGCAGAAGGGGUUUAUCCCUGGGCAGGAGACCAGAGCCCAGGUCACUGGCUUCAGACCCACUGCUCUCUUCUUAGCCAGAACUUACUCACUCUCACUCUCGCUCUCCUGGGCUUGCCCUCUCCUUCCUCUCUCUCCCUCCCUUUCCCGCUCCCCUCAGAGGGGCUCUGGUUGUCCUAUGUCACACAGAAGCUCAGUGUGCCCUUGGGAAAGGCCCAGAGGCUCUGGCUAUUAAGAGCAGAGUCCAGACGACAGUCCUACCCCAAAUGCAGAGGCUUUGCUCAGGUAGUUUUGUUUGUUUGGUUUUUGACCAGCAUUGGUAGAAGAAUCCUAAAUGUCAGCGGGUACUAGAGCAUGCAUGGUCUCUUGCAGUCCUCACAGCCCCUAUAAUAGGCCUGUGAAUGGGGAGUCAACGUGUCCCGAGGAACCGUGUACUAAAGUGGUACAGUCUGAGGAAAUGUGGUACAGCAAGCAGCAACUCAGAGUCCUCACUGGACAGAGAGCACAAGGCCCAGGCAGAAGUGCAUGCUCCUUGCGAAGAGUGGGCUGGCUUCCUCAUUCUAGACACGACCUGACUCUUCUGUUCAUGCAGUGGAGCUGGGUAAAGAGCCUGGGCCUCCAUACUGCUGCAGCACAGGGUAGGGUACCUUUAAGGAUGCCAGCCUCCAGGGAAUCAUAGAAGCCUCUCGGCCAACCCAGCCCUGCAACAGCCCUGUAAACCUGGGCUUAUACACAAUUAAAGUUUUAUUACAUUAUAUUUCCUACAUAUAAAAGACUAUUUGUGAGCUAUGAGCACGUCGUGACAAAAGCUCCUGACCACUCUGCGUAAGAGCUAGAUUAUUUAGACACAAGGGGAGUCUUGUCUUUGGACCCCUACUUCCCAGGAGGAACCCAUACCCUAAAUGUGGCCGUUACUCCUUUCCUUUUAAAAACAAAUCAUUUCAGGACAUGUGCUUGGGGCCGCUGAGCUAACUGCACCUUUGAGACAUGGCACUGGACUCCCAGAGGGCAUGACUUCUUUAAGGGAAAGGGGGGACCUUUGAGGAUCUGCUUGUACUCUUAGAUCUCCCUUUUCUUCAGGGCCACUCAGAGCCUGUGCAGCAAAUGCUAUGAAAUAGGACGUAGUUCCUGGUGCAGCCAGCAGGGCAGGGCGGCACCUGGCAGCUGGACGUUCCUUAAGCAAGGUGUACUGUGUGUUUGUCUGGGUAGUGCUUACUACCUGUAGGACCCCUUCCUUCCCACUCAGGAUACUCAGCUCCUUCUUCUAGCUCCAGCCCCAAGGUUUGAUUGCAUUGGGAGAUCUGACCUCUGCAUCCAUCUGUGUCUUUAGGCACCACAAAGGGCACCCACUCGCAGGGCAGAGAUCCCAGAGGAGUUGAGCAUUGGCCCCAAAGCGGACAAUUCUAGACUGACUCGGGGCCAUCAGAGAUCUGCAAGGAGUGGAGGAGGACGGUGGGACGCUCAUAUCCAUGGAGGCACCACAGCAUGUGUUCUGGGAGCACGGGUGUAUGUUCCUGUCCUGACCUGCGGAGGACAGGGAUGGCUAUGUCACCUUCCCCAGCUCUGUCUCCUUCCCCAGCCCUACGAGCCCCAACCAGAUGCAAUCAAUGUCUGAUCCUGGAAGGAGUCUAAGGAUAUCUGGCUGUUCUCUACCAAUGAACCUGGUGUUUUUCUUCUA